AAGAGAAUAUGUGGGAGAACAAAACAGAAACUGAAAGAAUAUGCAAGAUCCUGUGCUAGGUGCUAAGAAGAUAGCAGAAAACAAGAGACACAUGCUGCUGUCCUCAUUAAGCUAACUCUCCACUCUCUGGUUGGAAGGUGAGGGGGACAAAUAAUAAAUGAAAACACAAGCUGCGCAUGGUGGCUUAUGUAAUCCCAGCUACUCGGGAGGCUGAAUCAGGAGGAUCAUUUGAGCCCAGGAGUUUGAGACCAGCCUGGGCAACAUAAAGAGACUGUAAACAAACAAACACAUAAAUAAAUGAGGUAAUUACAGACCUUAAGAAGUGUUAAGAAGGAAAUGAUGUAACUGGGGUAGGUGGGAGAAGAAGUUACUCAGGACUGUCAGAGGCGAACUCUAAGAAGAAAUGAGUUGGAGAUGAGACCGGAAUGCAACAAAGGAGCCAGUAUGUGAAGAGGGAGCACCACAAACAAAAAGCCAAGGGGGAGAAGAGUGCGGAGUAUUUGGGUAACAGAAAGGCAAUCUCCUGCCUCAGUUGGAAUCCCGCUGACCUGAAUUCCAAUUGACCUGAAACAUAGCUCACAGAGACCCCCUGUACAUAGUCCAGGUUCCCCAAAAUGAAAAGACCUUCAGCCAAGCUCUACGGAUGAAAUGAAAAAUGGGAAUUCUAUUUCAAAGUUUCAGAGACAUCCAUGAUGAGGGAAUUAUUAAAAGAAACUCUAGACUCCUAAUCCUAUGAAAAAACAGAAAGGAUCCACACAUUCCUUGAAUUGUUUAUAGAUUUUGCUCUGCUUGUAUUUGUUAAAGAGUAAAAGGUCUGUAGCUUUCAGUAGUUUCUCUCUCUCUCUCUCUCUCUUUUUUUUUUUUUUCUCAGACUGGGUCUCACUUUAUUGGCCAGGCUGGAACGCAGUGGUAUGAUAAUGGCUCACUGCAGCUUCAGCCUCCAGGGCUCACACAAUCCUCCUGCCUCAGCUUCCCACGUAGCUGGGACCACAGGAGCAUGACACCAUGCCCAGCUAAUGUUUUAUUUUUAUUUUUAGUAGAGAUGAAGUCUCACUAUGUUGCCCAGGCUGGUUUUAACUCCUGGGCUCAAGUGAUCCUCCUGCCUCAGCCUCCCAAAGUGCUGGGAUUACAAAUGUGAGCCACUAUACCCAGCCAGUAGUUUCUCAAAGUUUAUUGGAAAUGUCAUCAUUAAUUUUUCACCUACAUUUUAAUUUAAAUCAAUUUAAUUUAGUUACAAUUUUUGAAAUUAAGAAAUAAUUGUCUUAAAAAUGAAUAUACUACAACUAUUUAAUCAGAUAUCCAGUUUAGGCAGAUACGAAGGCAGUGAAGAAUAUGAAAACUAAUGUAAAAGAUAUUAAAAUGGUUUUAAGCAGGGACUCAAAAAGACAUUUGUAUACCAGUGUUCAUAGCAGCAUUGUUCACAAUAGUCAAAAAGUGGAAAAAAUUAAAUGUCCAUCAAUGGAUUAAUGGAUAAACAAAAUGUGAUGUAUCCAUAAAAUUGAAUAUCCAGCCAUAAAAAAGUUCUAACACAUGCUAAAUAUGAAUGAACCUUGAAGAUAUUAUGCUAAAUAAAGCAAGCCAGACACAAAAGGACAAAUAUUGUAUCAUUUCACUUAUACGCUGUACCCAGAAUAGUGAAUUAACAGAGAAAUAGAAUAUGGUUAUCAGGGGCUGAAGGUGGAGGGUAAUGGGGCGUUGUUGGAGGCCAAAAGAGUGAGGGUCGUGAUCAACUCAGGAUAGCACUGGAGACUAUAUGAGUAAACAGCAAACUUUUUCUCAUAAAUGCAGAAUGUUAGCAAACUG
rnacentral:lncRNA from 1 species